ACAAAAACACACACUGUUCGCUUUCGUACGUCACAAAACCUUUACCGCGUUUUUAUCCAACUUUUUUCGUAAACAAAGAAGUCCUAUAUUACAAUAGCUGUUAUAUUAUGACAUCAACCGGUUAUAAAAAUUAUUCGGGUCGCUUACGGUACCGAUUGGUAUAUAAUCUGCGAGAUUCGUUUAUCUGUGGCUAUAGAAAGUAAUCAAACCAUAAGCAAUCAUUACUGUAAUGACAAGAUGAAAAAAACUGUACUACUCGUAUUAGCUUUCUUGCAACUAUGUUUAUCAGCCCCAAAAAGCAAGAUAACUGAUCUGGAACAAGGUUAUUUAGAUAAACUGAAUAAACCCUGGUUCGUUCCGCACCCCACGUCCAAAUAUCCCCGAAAAGGUGAAACUCUAUGUAAUGGUAAGCCAUGCAAGCCGAGCGGACCCGCGUGUGAAGAUUGCCAAGUGAAUGUACCUAUUAAAAUUAAUUGGAGAUAAUGUGUCAAAUAAAUUAUUUUUUUUUAGGUUUUUUUUAUUAUUGUUCCUUAUGACGUCUUAGGGCGCAAAUAAAAUCAAUCAGUUGCGAAUUAAGGCAAUGUCAAUGGUU